GUAGUCUCGCACAGAUGCAUAUCAAUAAGCGGAGGAAAAGAAACUAACAAGGAUUCCCUUAGUAACGGCGAGUGAAGCGGGAAGAGCUCAAAUUUGAAAUCUUCAAGGUUUUACCUUGACGAAUUGUAGUUUAAAGAAGUGUUUUCUGUUGAAGUUUUGGUAAAAGUUCUUUGGAAUAGGACAUCAUAGAGGGUGAGAAUCCCGUAUUUGACCAUUAUUUUCAGCUGUGUGAUACACUUUCAAAGAGUCGGAUUGUUUGGGAAUGCAGUCCAAAAUGGGUGGUAAAUUUCAUCUAAAGCUAAAUAUUGGCGAGAGACCGAUAGCGAACAAGUACCGUGAGGGAAAGAUGAAAAGAACUUUGAAAAGAGAGUUAAACAGUACGUGAAAUUGUCAAAAGGGAAGCGUUUGACACCAGUGUUGUCUUCUCGAAAAUCAAUUAAAAAGAGUUAGAUUUUGUUGUGUAUUGACCUUAACAGCUUGCAUUUCAAUUUUCUUGCUUUUUUUAAUGCACUUUUCGUUUAACAAGUCAACAUCAGUUUCUUUUGUUGUAAAAAGGUCAUUGGAAGGUGGCUUUCUUUUCGGAGAAAGUGUUUAUAGCCUUUGACUCCUGCAAUCGGAGAGACUGAGGUCUGCAGCGUAGAUCCUUCGGGGUUAGAUACAUUUGUGCUAAGUUAUAGCUUUUUAUAGACAACUUGUUGACUAUGAUUAGUCUUGUAGCUUACUCGCUUAUGCUAUUUUACCUACGCUUAGGAUGUUGAGCGCAUGUCUCUCUCU
rnacentral:rRNA from 1 species